CUUUCUCCGCCGGCGACCGGCGCACGGGUGAGUAACACGUAUGCAACCUGCCCCUGUCAGGGGGACAACCCGCCGAAAGGCGGGCUAAACCCGCGUACAUGCCACCGGGGCAUCCCGGAGGCAGGAAAGGCUUCGGCCGGACAGGGAUGGGCAUGCGGCGCAUUAGGCAGUAGGCGGGGUAACGCCCACCUAACCGACGAUGCGUAGGGGUUCUGAGAGGAAGGUCCCCCACACUGGUACUGAGACACGGACCAGACUCCUACGGAAGGCAGCAG
rnacentral:rRNA from 1 species